GCUGGCGUGGUCUAAUGGUUAUGAUUUCUCGUUCACAUUCAUGUGAGCAGUUGAUUCUUGAAAUCCGAGAAGGUUCCGAGUUCGAUCCUCGGCGCUAGUA